GAUUGACAUGCUGUACCUGUCGUUUCCUUCACUAGACAAACACGUCUCAUGAUGGCAGGAUCCUGUUAAAGACAGUCACCUUUGACAAGAUCAAGAAGCACAAGAAGUACCACGGCUGUGUCCUGCUCAAAAUCGUGGACUUUUAUCGGGAAGUUCUCCAGAGACAAGACAGAAAUUAUCCUGACCUUGRGGGCCUGCUGGAUGAAGUGAAGGAAUGCGUUCACCCAAGAAAGAUCUGUGAAAAGCUGUACAGGAAGCUGCUGGGAAACCAGUGAACGAGUCUAAGAUAGAGGAAGACUUGGAGCUGCUGACGAAGGAUGUAGCAUUUCAGCUGCAGAGACUGAAGGCGCAGUAAAAAGGUGGGGUUCCACGUUACUCUUCAUCCAUAGUGAUCACAUGAAGGCAGCCAGUAAAAGGUGGGGUUCCACGUUAACUCUUCAUCCAUAGUGAUC